rnacentral:rRNA from 1 species
UACGGAGGGGACUAGCGUUGUUCGGAAUUACUGGGCGUAAAGCGCACGUAGGCGGAUUUGUCAGUCAGGGGUGAAAUCCCGGGGCUCAACCUCGGAACUGCCUUUGAUACAGCAAGUCUUGAGUUCGAGAGAGGUGGGUGGAAUUCCUAGUGUAGAGGUGAAAUUCGUAGAUAUUAGGAAGAACACCGGUGGCGAAGGCGGCCCACUGGCUCGAUACUGACGCUGAGGUGCGAAAGCGUGGGGAGCAAACAGG